rnacentral:rRNA from 1 species
UGCAGUCGAGCGAAUCUUUGGGAGCUUGCUCCCAAUGGUUAGCGGCGGACGGGUGAGUAACACGUGGGCAACCUGCCUGUAAGACUGGGAUAACUUCGGGAAACCGGAGCUAAUACCGGAUAAUCCAUUUCCUCUCAUGAGGAAAUGCUGAAAGUCGGUUUCGGCUGACACUUACAGAUGGGCCCGCGGCGCAUUAGCUAGUUGGUGAGGUAACGGCUCACCAAGGCGACGAUGCGUAGCCGACCUGAGAGGGUGAUCGGCCACACUGGGACUGAGACACGGCCCAGACUCCUACGGGAGGCAGCAGUAGGGAAUCUUCCACAAUGGACGAAAGUCUGAUGGAGCAACGCCGCGUGAGCGAUGAAGGCCUUCGGGUCGUAAAGCUCUGUUGUUAGGGAAGAACAAGUACCGGAGUAACUGCCGGUACCUUGACGGUACCUAACCAGAAAGCCACGGCUAACUACGUGCCAGCAGCCGCGGUAAUACGUAGGUGGCAAGCGUUGUCCGGAAUUAUUGGGCGUAAAGCGCGCGCAGGCGGUCCUUUAAGUCUGAUGUGAAAGCCCACGGCUCAACCGUGGAGGGUCAUUGGAAACUGGGGGACUUGAGUGCAGAAGAGGAAAGCGGAAUUCCACGUGUAGCGGUGAAAUGCGUAGAGAUGUGGAGGAACACCAGUGGCGAAGGCGGCUUUCUGGUCUGUAACUGACGCUGAGGCGCGAAAGCGUGGGGAG